rnacentral:tRNA from 1 species
GCCAGUAUGGUGGCUAUGACCCUCGGCUUGUAAACCGAGUGGGUUCGGGUUCGAAUCCCGAGUAAGACU